UUAGGCAUCAUACAAGUACUCAGACACAAACCCAGAAACCGCAUUUGGACUCCCAUCCCUCAUGGUAAAAACAGGGACACAUAUACAGGCACGCAGCAGCCUCCGGAGCACCGAUACUUAAUUGCUCUUGGGCACAUGCCUCUCAUAGCUCAGAGAAGACAGUAACACGAGAACAUACCAGAAUGACUUGACAGGCAGACCUGAGCAUACUUAAGGACCCGAAGGAGUAUACUAACUUUCUCAAAAAUCCAGCUUAAGCAAAUUUAAUGUCUGUAUUACACAGACUAAAGGUACACAGGCACAUUUGGAACCAAGUCUCAUCAGAAUCAUGGGAAUUACAUGGGUGGACAGCUUUCCCCAAAGCCUGUGCUGACCUGACACCCACUUGGAGUGGGGAGGAGCCCUCUUUCAGUGAUGGAAUUGACAACCAGAGAUUCAGAGCCAGCGGCAAUAGGGUGAGAAUCAAGACUUGAGAUUGGGGGUCACCCACAGCCUUCCCCCAUCCCCUCCAGGCCCCUUCUGCAUAGAGCCUCAGUGGGCAGUGAACUCUGCCUGCCCUGCUUUAUCCCCAGUCAGGGUCUGUGGGGAGACCUACCUUACCAGAAUGGGAAACUAGAAUUGCUGCCCUGGGGACUUGGUGCAGCGCACACACACACACACACACACACACACACACACACUCCUUCCUGCAGUGUCCUGCCUAGGAAAAAGAUUGGAUUGAGAGUUACCAAUACUGUACUUAGUGCUAGUGAUUUACUAGCUAUGUAAAUCUCUGUGACUCCCUAGCUGUGUAACUGGGCACAUCAUUCCAUCUUUGGAGCCUGUGUUUCCUCAUCAGAAAAUGGAGAAAUAGGGCUAGAAGAUAUGUGCAGACAUUUCAGUUUUCCAGCCAAACUCUUUAUUGUCACCUAAGGGAUAGUUCUCAGAGCAUGGCUGAGUCAGGGCACUUUUCAUUUUUCUUCAUGUUAGUUUCCCUGUGAUAAACAUGAGAGAAUGGGACUAUAAAAGUGGUUCUUAACGAGCGAGACCUGUCAAAAUUACUUGGGAAACUUUUUAAAAACGUACAUACCUUGUUACCCCAGACCUACUAAUUGAGUGGCACAGAUCUUGAUAAGCUUGGAUACCCAAAUACC
rnacentral:lncRNA from 1 species